rnacentral:rRNA from 1 species
AACGAACGCUGGCGGCAUGCCUAACACAUGCAAGUCGAACGAGACCUUCGGGUCUAGUGGCGCACGGGUGCGUAACGCGGGGGAACCUGCCCUUAGGUUCGGAAUAACUCCCCGAAAGGGGUGCUAAUACCGGAGAAUGUCUUCGGACCAAAGAUUUAUCGCCUUUGGAUGGGCCCGCGUUGGAUUAGCUAGUUGGUAGGGUAAAAGCCUACCAAGGCGACGAUCCAUAGCUGGUCUGAGAGGAUGAUCAGCCACACUGGGACUGAGACACGGCCCAGACUCCUACGGGAGGCAGCAGUGGGGAAUAUUGGACAAUGGGCGAAAGCCUGAUCCAGCAAUGCCGCGUGAGUGAUGAAGGCCUUAGGGUUGUAAAGCUCUUUUACCCGGGAUGAUAAUGACAGUACCGGGAGAAUAAGCUCCGGCUAACUCCGUG